rnacentral:tRNA from 1 species
GGGGAUAUAGCUCAAGGGUAGAACAUUUGACUGCAGAUCAAGAGGUCCCUGGUUCAAAUUUAGCUGCCCCCU